rnacentral:lncRNA from 10 species
AAAAGUCAAUGCUAUUCAAGGAUGGUGCAAACGACUGUGGGCCGUCUGAGGCUGGCUAGCACAAUGGAGUUAUUAAUAUCUGCCCUGCCCAUCUUACAGAACCAUUGAGAGGUUUGGUUUGCACACCCACAGCAAGGAAAAUCAGCACCCAGAGGAUGCAUCUGUGAAGAGUCAAGGCAGCAUCUGCUAAAAACAGCUGGUGAAGGGGCUUCUGGGGCUGGAGCCUGGAGACAUCAGAAGAAGCUCCGUGAGGAACACGGGGAGAGUCAGCUGUGAAGUUUGGCAGCUCAGAAGCCUUCCUAAUGGGAGAGUGGCAAGGUUCCAUUGAAGAUGGGCAUGUGGGAUGGGAGAAGUCGCUGUGGUCAUUUUUGGAAAAUACAGUCUCUCAUAAAGGACCAGAGUAAUCUCCCAUAUUUGAA